rnacentral:rRNA from 1 species
AGCGAACGCUGGCGGCGUACUUAACACAUGCAAGUCGAACGAGGAGCUUCGGUGUAGCAAUACAUCGGAGCUUCUAGUGGCGAACGGGUGAGUAACACGUGGGGAACCUGUCCUCCAGUCGGGGAUACCCGCUCGAAAGGGCGGCUAAUACCGGAUGCGUUCUCGAGGUCGCAAGAUCUAGAGAGGAAAGGCGGCGAAAGCUGUCGCUGGUGGAGGGCCUCGCGGCCUAUCAGCUAGUUGGUGAGGUAACGGCUCACCAAGGCUAUGACGGGUAGCUGGUCUGAGAGGACGACCAGCCACACGGGGACUGAGACACGGCCCCGACUCCUACGGGAGGCAGCAGUGGGGAAUUUUCCGCAAUGGGCGAAAGCCUGACGGAGUGACGCCGCGUGGGGGACGAAGGCCUUCGGGUCGUAAACCCCUGUCAGAGGGAAAGAAGGGUCGCCGGGUUAAUACCCCGGUGAUCUGACGGUACCUUCAGAGGAAGCCCCGGCCAACUCUGUGC